ACAUUAAUACAGUUAGUUCGCGUUCGUACAAGCAGAAAGGGUUUAGUCUUGUUUGUGAAGAUCGCAUCCGAUUCGCGCUUGUAGUUCGGCAACGAAACAUCGAUACACUCCAUAAUCGAUACCUUGAGGCUUGAACUAUUCAAGAAGUUCCCGUGAGUGUCUACGAGAUGGCAUCAACCGCAUCAGAAACUGUUGCGAUUUACAAAAAAUUUAAAGAAUUACCCAUAUUCGUAACAGAAAACCAUAAUGAGUCAACUUCGAUGAAGAUGUAACACCCAUCCACACAAUUGUGUGGAUGGGUAUUGUUGAAGAAGAAGAAGAAGAAGAAGAAGCAAUAUCUACUGUGGAGUUCAUUGGAGGUGGUGUGGGGUCCUACAGCCCAGGAUGCUGAGGAUGAAGAGGAGGAAGAGAUGGAGGCGGCCACUGAAUCUAUACCAGACAGCCCAGCGUCGCCAUCACCGCCUCCACCACCGCAGAACCCACCACCACCACCACCACCACCACCACCACCAAGGUGGCGCAUACUCCCUGAGGAGUAUGUAGAUGAAGGCAAUGAUGUUGAUGUUAUAUUCUCAUACGAAAUAAUAAAUAUCGAUUAAAAGGA
rnacentral:misc_RNA from 1 species